AUUAUACUUCCUCCGUUUCAAAUUACUUGUCGCAGAAAUGGAUGUAUCUAGAACUAAAAUACAUUUAGAUACAUCCAUUUUUAUGACGAGUAAUUCGGAACGGAGGGAGUAGAUG
rnacentral:pre_miRNA from 1 species